rnacentral:rRNA from 1 species
AUUGAACGCUAGCGGCCGGCCUAACACAUGCAAUUCGCGCUGAGCGGCGUACGGGUGAGUAAUUCCUAGGAAUCUGCCUCGUAGUGGGGGAUAACGUCCGGAAACGGGCGCUAAUACGGCAUCCUAUCAGAUGAGCCUAUGUCGGUUUACCUAGUUGGUGGGGUAAGGGACUACAAAGGCGACGAUCCGUAACUGGUGUGCGAGGACGAUCAGUCACACUGGAAAUGAGAAACGGUCCAGACUCCUACGGGAGGAAGCAGUGGGGAAUAUUGGACAAUGGGCGAAAGCCUGAUCCAGCCAUGCCGCGUGUGUGAAGAAGGUCUUCGGAUUGUAAAGUACUUUCGGGGGGGAGGCGUUACACGAAGAAGAUGCACCGGCUAACUCCGUGCCAGCAGCCGCGGUAAUAC